rnacentral:rRNA from 1 species
GACGAACGCUGGCGGCGUGCUUAACACAUGCAAGUCGAACGGAAAGGCCCUGCUUUUGUGGGGUUCUCGAGGGGCGAACGGGUGAGUAACACGUGAGUAACCUGCCCUUGUCUUUGGGGUAACUUCAGGAAACUGGGGCUAAUACCGGAUAGGAGCUCCUGCUGCAUGGUGGGGGUUGGAAAGUUUCGGCGGUCGGGGAUGGACUGGCGGCUUAUCAGCUUGUUGGUGGGGUAGUGGCUUACCAAGGCUUUGAAGGGUAGCCGGCCUGAGAGGGUGACCGGCGACAUUGGGACUGAGAGACGGCCCAGACUCCUACGGGAGGCAGCAGUGGGGAAUAUUGCACAGUGAGCGGAAGCCUGAUGCGGCGACGCCGCGUGCGGGAUGACGGCCUUCGGGUUGUAAACCGCUUUCGCCUGUGACGAAGCGUGAGUGACGGUAAUGGGUAAAGAAGCACCGGCUAACUACGUG